ACUCCUACGGGAGGCAGCAGCAAGGAAUAUUGGUCAAUGGGGGCAACCCUGAACCAGCCAUGCCGCGUGCAGGAAGACGGCCCUCUGGGUUGUAAACUGCUUUUAUCCGGGAAUAAACCCCCUUACGUGUAAGGGGCUGAAUGUACCGGAAGAAUAAGGAUCGGCUAACUCCGUGCCAGCAGCCGCGGUAAUACGGAGGAUCCAAGCGUUAUCCGGAUUUAUUGGGUUUAAAGGGUGCGUAGGCGGCCUGUUAAGUCAGGGGUGAAAGACGGUGGCUCAACCAUCGCAGUGCCUUUGAUACUGACGGGCUUGAAUACACUUGAAGUAGGCGGAAUGUGA
rnacentral:rRNA from 1 species